rnacentral:misc_RNA from 1 species
UCCGAGUUGACCCCGGCAGUCUCCCACGAGUCCCCACCAUCACGUGCUGGCAACAUAGGAUAAGGGUUGCGCUCGUUGCGGGACUUAACCCAACAUCUCACGACACGAGCUGACGACAGCCAUGCAGCACCUGUGUUCAAGUUCCCGAAGGCACCAGUCCAUCUCUGGAAAGUUCUCGACAUGUCAAGGCCAGGUAAGGUUCUUCGCGUUGCAUCGAAUUAAACCACAUACUCCACCGCUUGUGCGGGCCCCCGUCAAUUCCUUUGAGUUUCAGUCUUGCGACCGUACUCCCCAGGCGGGGUGCUUAAUGCGUUAGCUGCGGCACGGAUCCCGUCGAUAGGGACCCACACCUAGCACCCAUCGUUUACGGCGUGGACUAC